ACUGGAAUAAAACUAUCGGUAAUGCUGAAUGUGUGGACGAAAGCCCAAGCCGCGGGUUUUACUCGACGUGAUAGCUCGAUCGAGUAAAACCGUAUGUGAGUACUUAGCA